GAUGAACGCUGGCGGCGUGCCUAAUACAUGCAAGUCGAGCGAAUGGAUUAAGAGCUUGCUCUUAUGAAGUUAGCGGCGGACGGGUGAGUAACACGUGGGUAACCUGCCCAUAAGACUGGGAUAACUCCGGGAAACCGGGGCUAAUACCGGAUAAUAUUUUGAACUGCAUGGUUCAAAAUUGAAAGGCGGCUUCGGCUGUCACUUAUGGAUGGACCCGCGUCGCAUUAGCUAGUUGGUGAGGUAACGGCUCACCAAGGCAACGAUGCGUAGCCGACCUGAGAGGGUGAUCAGCCACACUGGGACUGAGACACGGCCCAGACUCCUACGGGAGGCAGCAGUAGGGAAUCUUCCGCAAUGGACGAAAGUCUGACGGAGCAACGCCGCGUGGGUGAUGAAGGCUUUCGGGUCGUAAAACUCUGUUGUUAGGGAAGAACAAGUGCUAGUUGAAUAAGCUGGCACCUUGACGGUACCUAACCAGAAAGCCACGGCUAACUACGUGCCAGCCGCCGCGGUAA
rnacentral:rRNA from 1 species